CUUUCUUUUACAGGCAUAUGUCACUGCAGAAGUUCUCAAACUUUAUGGUCUGUCAAAGGAUCAGAGCCAGAAAACUGACUGGCAAAAGAUGCUUAAAUUUGGCAGAAAGAAACGGGACAGAGUCGACCACAUUCUGGUUCAGGAACUCCACGAGGAGGAGUCACAGUGGGUUAAUUAUGAUGAAGAUGAGCUGUCAGUCAAGAUGCAGCUGGCAGACAGCAUCUUGGAUGCCUUGCUCAAAGACACUGCAAACGUGCUGACACUAAUCUAUGACAAGAGGAGAAAACGAGACGCCCCGUCCUGACGACUUUCCCUUUGAAAUUUCUCAUAACCUUCUGCUGCUAAGUCCUCCACCAGCUGACGUGCCAACAGCAACCCUUAGAUGCCUUCAAUCCUGGCUUUUACCUCUUGGCUCUGUAGCUCAUUUCUGUGACAUUCACGGUCCAUUAAUACAGUUUGAUUUGUGCACGAAAUGCUUUUCUUUAGGAAUCUUCUAAAUUGGACCUAAUCUCAGUCGUCGCCUCCUCUUGAACUAACCCUCGAGGCGAGUGAGAAAUAUGGAGACGUUCAUAUCUGAAUCGACUGUUUCACCUAAUGCUGCUAUGGUCACUGUUUUAUAGGGGACUCUGAAAGCUUCUGAAUUUCAGGUAUUGGUAAAGUUAAAGGUAAAGACGUGAGAUCGGAUUAGCGUCACAUUUUAUGGUUUGUUGGUAUUUUGACUGUGACACAUUUUCUCUGAUGUUGUAAUCCAUCUUCUGUCAGCGAAGCAGUUUUAAAUUCCUAUUGCACAAUUUAACGUAAUUUGGUAAAAAUAAACUAACACCAGUACGAUUCUGAAUCUGAACUCCUUCCCCUCAAGUCCCUUCAGGCCAUUUUGUGACUCGGCACUUUAACAGAUUAAUGUGCACUUUACACGAGGGCAAAAAGGAAAAUGUGUCACUUUUAAAUACUUAUCGGCUCCUUUGUGUUGUUGGUACAUUAUUGGGGUCAUGCAUAAUAUGUGAAACAUUUUGUCUUUUUGUUUGAAAUUAAUACUCAGAGAAUUGUAAAAUGAUUUUUUUUUAUCAGCAUCGUCAAAAGUUUGAUAUUGUGUAAAGACAAUUUUUAAAGAAAGCACAAAGAGAAAUGUGAACGUGUCGAUAUAAUGUCACGACCUAAAAGAAAUCUAUUGUAACCUCGAAAGAAAAAAAACAGAAAAUCGGUUCAUAUUCAAAAGUAACAAUAGGUCAUGACUCCUAAUAUUUUGAGUCAUACUGGGGUUUGGUUUGAACACUUCAUACUCACAAUAUUUCAUUUGUAUAAUAUAGAAGGCGUUCAAAAAUUAAUAGGCAGUUGUUUUGGUUUAAAAUGUCUUGAAUCCCUGUGUAGGACUUAUUGAAAUGCUGGAUUUGAGCCGUUGUUCACUCUCUCUCUCUUUCUCUUUCUCUCUCUCUCUCUGACCUCAGAAGACAUGUGUUGUUCCAUCAUCAGCUGAACAUAUUUGAGCAAAUGCCCUGAAAAAACCCAUUUGGUUCUGUUUAGCCAUGGCUCCGUGCUCUGCGUGUUCAUGUGAAACAUUUGUGUUUUUUUUUACAGAGAUGAAGUUGGUGCUUUAGCUUUCAUUGGACCUUUUUUCACCUUCUUGAAUGUCUCCCCACAACUGCUGUAGACAACAUUCUUCACAUGUUCCUUAGAUGACGGCGCAGUCUUUCAUCAUUGCUUUAGCCUCUGCCUUUAGCAACCUCCGUGUGUCAGAGCAAAAAAGAAGGCAUUAGCCUGGACGAUGUUUUUAUACGUUCUCAUUUCUGUGUGCCUAAGAAAACAGGUGGAAAUCAUUGACCUGCUCCAAAGGUUAUUUGCUUCUUUUCUGUCUCCCUCACAUCUGUUUGCCCGUCUGGUUACUGCUUACGUUGUCAUAUUGAUCCAACUGUAUCAGGAACUGGUAUGUUGAAACUGCGUCGUAUAAAGUGAGUCAACAGACUGUCGGAGCUGAGCACGUAGGCUCUGUGCUGUGGUUUAUAUCUGAACAAACGGAGCAAAGUCACUGACAACACGGUGUGUGAUGGAGUCUGUGCGGAGUUAGAAAAAAAAAGUGUCCUUAAACUUUUGUACAUUUUUUAAAAAAAAACUACUUUCAGUGACUUCAUCGUGGCUGAUGUGUAAAUUCAAACUGUAAAUUGUAUAGUGUACAAAAAUAUACACCCAAAUAUUCAACACAGAUUUGUCCUCACUGUACGACUUCUAGUCUGUGGCCACGUGUUACUGGAAUACUGACUGUAGGUCCUGUAGAAACCCUGAGCUGAUUGUACUGGAGAGGAAACGGCGAUCCUCCUCUGUAACUAUGCAUCACACGUUCUCCUGCAUUUUUAACUUUCAGUUUCAAACAGCUGAGUCUUCUGCUGCUACUCUGAGCUCCACAGAUGUUCAAGAAGCUUUGAGCUGUUUGUUGCACAAUAGAGGCUUUUCCUACAAAAGGAAAAAAACAAAUUUGCAACUCGCCCUUAAAUUAAAAAAUCUCUGUCCAUUUUUAUUGUGUAGGCAUGAAAUUAGACGAUCAGAUUCACGGAGUCCGGCUAAGCUUUCUGCUUUGUCUUUUAAAAUUUCUGCGAUUAUUUAUAAAGUGGUGGUGCGACGUGCACCUGAAGACGAGUACAAUUCCGAUGUAGGUUGUAAAUAUUUUGUCUUUCUGAUCUGACCUGCGAUGACUGUAUGUAAUAUUAUGAGCAUUGUAUAAAAUAAACAUUGUUUAAUUUGCAAAUAUGUACAUAGUAUAUAUUUGUUAACAAAACAAACGUUGAAAUUGUAAAUAAAGUUUUCUGCUGUUUCUCAAAUAA